rnacentral:rRNA from 1 species
CCUACGGGAGGCUGCAGUGAGGAAUAUUGGUCAAUGGGCGCGAGCCUGAACCAGCCAAGUAGCGUGAAGGAUGACUGCCCUACGGGUUGUAAACUUCUUUUAUAAAGGAAUAAAGUGAGGCACGAGCGCCUUUUUGUAUGUACUUUAUGAAUAAGGAUCGGCUAACUCCGUGCCAGCAGCCGCGGUAAUACGGAGGAUCCGAGCGUUAUCCGGGUUUAUUGGGUUUAAAGGGAGCGUAGCUGGGUUGUUAAGUCAGUUGUGAAAGUUUGCGGCUCAACCGUAAAAUUUCAAUUGAUACUGGCAGCCUUGAGGACAGUUGAGGUAGGCGGAAUUCGUGGGGUAACGGUGAAAUGCUGAGAAAUCACGAAGAACUCCGAUUGCGGAGGCAGCUUACUAAACUGCCACUGACAUUGAUGCUCGAAAGUGUGGGUAUCAAACAGGAUUAGGUACCCCGAGUAGUC